AUUGAACGCUGGCGGUAGGCCUAACACAUGCAAGUCGAGCGGUAGAGAGAAGCUUGCUUCUCUUGAGAGCGGCGGACGGGUGAGUAAUGCCUAGGAAUCUGCCUGGUAGUGGGGGAUAACGUUCGGAAACGGACGCUAAUACCGCAUACGUCCUACGGGAGAAAGCAGGGGACCUUCGGGCCUUGCGCUAUCAGAUGAGCCUAGGUCGGAUUAGCUAGUUGGUGAGGUAAUGGCUCACCAAGGCGACGAUCCGUAACUGGUCUGAGAGGAUGAUCAGUCACACUGGAACUGAGACACGGUCCAGACUCCUACGGGAGGCAGCAGUGGGGAAUAUUGGACAAUGGGCGAAAGCCUGAUCCAGCCAUGCCGCGUGUGUGAAGAAGGUCUUCGGAUUGUAAAGCACUUUAAGUUGGGAGGAAGGGCAGUUACCUAAUACGUGAUUGUUUUGACGUUACCGACAGAAUAAGCACCGGCUAACUCUGUGCCAGCCGCCGCCGUAAUAC
rnacentral:rRNA from 1 species